rnacentral:tRNA from 1 species
UCCAGGGUAGCCUAGUGGACAUGGCAUCUGCCCGGUAAGCGGAACACUGUGGGUUCGAUUCCCCUCCCUGGAC